rnacentral:lncRNA from 1 species
CAAGAAGCAAGAGAGUACAGAUGUAAGUACACUCAGCUCGUUUCUGAAAUUGAUGUCCACGCCAAGAUGAGUCAGUCAAAAUGUGUGCGUGCGUGUGCAUAUAUCAUGCUAGCCAGCUACAAGUAGUCUGAACUAUCAAGCUAUAUAGGUUGGUCAACCGUGUAUUUUGGAACAAGUCAGAACUCGGUAGUCAAUGCCUCCUGCAAGUGCAUGCAACAUUCUAGAUUUUUUUUAGAUAAAAGAUAUAGAAACUAUCCGGCUUCAUCUACCCAUAGGUAGGAAUGAAAAUGGUACGGAUAUUUUCCGACCGUAUUCGAGACCGAAUUCGUUUAGAGAGGUUUAGAUCUGUCCGUAUCCGAGUUCGAAUAUUCAACAUCGGAUACCGUAUCCGUAUCCGAAUAUUUAAAUCAUAUAUUUAUGAUAUCGACAUCCAAUCGUAUCUUAUCCGACAUAAUUGACAUUAUUCGCAUUCGGAUCCGAAUCCGACCACAAAUAUGAAAACAAAUAUGAUAUCGGUGAUAUCCGUUCGUAUUCGAUGCGUUUUCAUCCCUACCAUAGGUAGAAUCAGACCAAAUUAAUACAACUGGAGAAAAAAAAAAGAUAAAUAACGGAAAAAUUACAUCCCCAACAAGGGCUCAAGUAGUCCUACGUAAUAAACCGCCUUGAUCUAGAAUACCAUCACCAGCGUCAAGACAAAGUCAUCGAAACAUUUUAGAUAAUCUACACGCGUACGUGGUCCACAGCUUCAUCCGGUUCAUCUGUGCCGGUAAAUUGGGAAGCUGACAACGGCUGUGUCGACUCGUCGGUAUCCAGCUGUACGGGCACAAGCAGAUCUGUACGUGUACCCGCCAUGCCUCCUCGCGUUGCCGACCAUCACGAAUCACUACCCAAAUUUUUAGAGGUACGGUGGGUAAAAUGCAUUAUAGAGACUGUUGCUUUUUAGCCUAUACUAGUUCUCUAGCCAAGGCAUCUCAGAAGUCAAAACCAGUGGUUUCCACAAUAGCUACCAAUCAAAGUCUCAAGAAAACGUUAUUAUGGCCGGAGUGCCAGAUUGUAUUGUCUUUGGUGUCAGACGAUUUAGCCGACAUAGUGGCUUAAUGGAAUCAAAACCCCCUUAAAAAAUUUCCCAAGAAAACGGUUAUACUGACAUUUCACUUUAGUCAACCAUCUUGAAAAUAAUUUCUAAAAUUAGUCGAGAUUUGAGUUAACCACUUUAGAAACCGAUGUCUGUAGGCGAUCACUUAAACUGACAAAAUCAGGGAAAAAUAUAUUAAAUAUAAAAAAAAUAAAAAUCCAUGUCUAUAGGCGAUCACUUAAACUGACAGUCGAGAUUGGAGCUAGCUCGAUGCCUUGGUUGAUGUAAUCUGGUGAGGGAGAUUGACAGAGAAACAAGAGAUAUUGGACUGGCCGGAUGCUAAAGAGGUACCCUCGUGCAUCUUCAAUAGUUACUAAAAAUUCGGUUGGUAAAUCAAUAAGUUGUCCAAUUAGCUUAAAAAAAGUUGGGACCAUGCAUAUUGUUUUGCGUUCCUCCAAUAAUUUUUAAAUCUCACUUCUAAAGUAU